UAUAAGAUCCUAUGACAUUGUGAAUUCUGCCACGGCCUUCCUGUUAUCAUUCUUCUCUCCAAAUCCAUGUUCCCCAUAUAUGUUCCAUAAGCUCAGCAAACUUUUCUAUAUGACCAUUAAGUUCUCUAACCAUUUUAUUUCACCAUUUUUUGUCCCUUUAGCAACUCCUCCUAUUAUGUUAUUCAAAUUUCCUGAAUUAUGUGUAAAUUGUGUUUAAGUGUUACUUGGGGUUCAUGAGCACUAAUUACAUUGAUUAUAUAAAUUCCUAUUUCAAGUAAUUAUUAAAAAUAUCAUCUGCUUAGUUCUCAUAAAAAUUGCAAAUUAUUUUAAAAUGUUGUAUCAUGACCGUUCUAUGUCUAUCUUCUACAACAUUAUAAAGUCUAUAUCAUGUAUUAUUUAUUUCUGUUAUUUCUCUCCUACCCACUUAGUUUAUUCUAUGCAUGCUUUGUUAGAUUUCCUUUUAACUAUAUUUGUUAACAGCCUAACACGUUGUCCCUUUAGCUUCAAAAGGUCGUAGUUUCCCAGUUCAUCCAACUGUUGAUACAUCAUGCCCAUUUAGAGAAGAUUUGACCUACACAUCUGGCCUAUUUCCACCACACCCUGUUUUGUAAGACCGCAUAUGACCGACCCUAGUAUUUGCUUGCCCAUUUUUAUUGUAACUGGUUUUAUGCUGGUUCUCAAAAAAAAUUAUUUUAUUGUAACUUUCUUCUUUUCCCAAGACUUGAGAGUGGAUAAGUAAGCAGUAAUAUCCAAAGAAUGCGAUGGAUUUGUCUAUUUCAACCUAUCAGCUUUGCAGGUCUGUUAGCACAUUGUAGGAUGUGCGAUUUUUACUUCAUGUUAUUUGUCCUUAAUGUCAAACAAAGGACACUUGACCCAAAGGGUGGAACUUUUGGCAAGCGGCUACAUCUCAUGAAGUGGAGGGUGUUGAACUUGAAACUCUUUUCCUCCGGGUAGCACUCCACCUAGACUAAUAUUAUUGAUGCAUGUUGACGGUUGCUUACAAUGUGCAGUUAAGCCAAAGUUUUGGAUAUUUCUCUGGCAAUAAAUAAAUUAAAAAAAGAAGAAAAAAAAGAAGAAGAAGGAUUCAUUGACAUAUUGCUAAAAAAAAAAUUAAAGACACUUUAAAAAAAAAACGGAUGAACCAUCUUUGGUAAAUGGAGUUCAUGGAGGGAUUGAAGGAUGCUACCAGGGCUUGGAGGUGGCCAAUACCUGGUGCUAGGCCUUUAGUUGACAACUUAGAGAGGAAAAAACUAAAGUUUUGCUGCAAUAAAAGCUUGUGCUUUUGAAUGAAUUUUCUUUUGUGAAGCAGGACUGCUAUUCUCAUUUCUUUUCAGUAUUAAUUAGUCCACUAUCUAACUAAUUAGUCAUAUGCAAAGAAAGAUGUGGAAAUUCGGAGAAUGUGAAUAUUUUAUUCUUCGGCAUGUUUGAUAUUUUUUUUUUUCUGUGUCUCAAAAUUUUCAGGUCUCAUUAUAAUUUGGAUCUCCAGAACAUUGCUGUCAAUGGCCAAUUGUUGCCUAUUGAUCCAGCAGUGUUUGCAACAUCAAGCAACCGAGGAACCAUUGUUGAUUCUGGAACAACUUUGGCAUACCUGGUGGAAGAAGCUUAUGAUCCUUUCGUCAAUGCUAUAACUGCCGCUGUUUCACAAUUUGCAACACCCAUCUUUUCAAAAGGAAACCAGUGUUAUCGAGUACCCAUCAGUAUAACUGAGAUUUCCUUCGGUUGCUUUUAACUUUGCUGGUGGUGCAUCCAUGGUUUUAAGACCAGUAGACUACCUUGUACAUGAUGGUUUAGUUUGAUGAAACGUAUCAAGCUUCAUUUGUUAAUCUUAAAUUGGACAAUUCAUUGUGACAGGAUGGUGCUGCAAUGUGGUGCAUUGGCUUUCAGAAAACUCAGGAUCAACUGGUAACUAUUUUAGGAGAUCUUGUUCUUAAAGAUAAGAUUUUUGUUUAUGACUUGGCUCAUCAACGGCUUGGGUGGGCUGAUUUUGAUUGUUCAUUGUCUGUAAAUGUCUCCAUAACUGCUAGCAAGGAUGAAUUCGUCAAUCCCGGACAGCUGAGUGUGAGCGGCUCAUCAAGAACCAUGCUCUUGAAGUUGGCAUUACUCACUUCAUGCAUAUAUCACUUUUUAUCGGAUUUCUCUUAUUGUAGCUUAAAAUCAUCCUCUAAAAACCUUAUUAUUUGCUUGAUAUCUAUUGACUCUACUGGUUUUUAUUAUAGUAAUCAGCAGGGCAAUCUGGUUACUGGUGAAUGAGACCACUUCCGUUUUCCAAUUCUGAAUAGGAAUCGACUUUCUAUGAUGAAAGCUCUGUCAUUGUAAAUUGUCUCCAUGCUCCUUGGUUCGAGGGUUUUUGAAUGAAACUGCCGUCAUUGAAGGUGGAACAAGACCUGUUUGAAGUGAUUGCUUUCAAGUUGGCAAGAAUUGUAGAAAUACGGUAAGUCUUUUGUAAAGUUGGUUUGUUUUUGUUAGAAACAUUUGUGAACUCUCUUUUCUUUUUUCGUUUUUUUUCUUUUA